UGCCUCCUGACUGCUGCCCUCUCCUCGUGUUUGUGAACCCCAAGAGUGGGGGCCUCAAGGGACGAGAACUGCUCUGCAGUUUCCGGAAGCUGCUGAAUCCACACCAGGUCUUUGAGCUCACCAACGGGGGCCCUCUUCCUGGGUUCCACCUUUUCUCCCAGGUGCCCUGCUUUCGGGUACUGGUCUGUGGUGGAGAUGGCACCGUGGGCUGGGUGCUCGCUGCCCUGGAGGAGACAAGGCGCCAUCUGGCCUGCCCAGAGCCAUCUGUGGCCAUCCUACCCCUGG
rnacentral:lncRNA from 1 species